CAGGAUUAGAUACCCUGGUAGUCCACGCCGUAAACGAUGUCGACUUGGAGGUUGUGCCCUUGAGGCGUGGCUUCCGGAGCUAACGCGUUAAGUCGACCGCCUGGGGAGUACGGCCGCAAGGUUAAAACUCAAAUGAAUUGACGGGGGCCCGCACAAGCGGUGGAGCAUGUGGUUUAAUUCGAUGCAACGCGAAGAACCUUACCUACUCUUGACAUCCAGAGAACUUUCCAGAGAUGGAUUGGUGCCUUCGGGAACUCUGAGACAGGUGCUGCAUGGCUGUCGUCAGCUCGUGUUGUGAAAUGUUGGGUUAAGUCCCGCAACGAGCGCAACCCUUAUCCUUUGUUGCCAGCGGUUCGGCCGGGAACUCAAAGGAGACUGCCAGUGAUAAACUGGAGGAAGGUGGGGAUGACGUCAAGUCAUCAUGGCCCUUACGAGUAGGGCUACACACGUGCUACAAUGGCGCAUACAAAGAGAAGCGACCUCGCGAGAGCAAGCGGACCUCAUAA
rnacentral:rRNA from 1 species